rnacentral:rRNA from 1 species
UACGUAGGGGGCAAGCGUUGUCCGGAUUUAUUGGGCGUAAAGAGCUCGUAGGCGGCUUGUCGCGUCGUCCGUGAAACCCACAAGCGUCAACUCGGUGGGCUUGCGGUCGAUACGGGCAGGCUAGAGUUCGGUAGGGGAGACUGGAAUUCCUGGUGUAGCGGUGAAAUGCGCAGAUAUCAGGAGGAACACCGGUGGCGAAGGCGGGUCUCUGGGCCGAUACUGACGCUGAGGAGCGAAAGCGUGGGGGAGCGAACAGG